rnacentral:rRNA from 1 species
CUACGGGUGGCUCCAGUGAGGAAUAUUGCACAAUGGGGGGAACCCUGAUGCAGCAACGCCGCGUGGAGGAUGACGCAUUUCGGGGUGUAAACUCCUUUUAUAUGUCAAGAAAAUGACGGUAGCAUAUGAAUAAGCACCGGCUAACUCCGUGCCAGCAGCCGCGGUAAUACGGAGGGUGCAAGCGUUACUCGGAAUCACUGGGCGUAAAGGACGCGUAGGCGGGUUGGAAAGUCAGGUGUGAAAUCCUACAGCUUAACUGUAGAACUGCACUUGAAACUUCUAAUCUAGAGUAUGGGAGGGGGAGAUGGAAUUAGUGGUGUAGGGGUGAAAUCCGUAGAUAUCACUAGGAAUACCUAAAGCGAAGGCGAUCUCCUGGAACAUUACUGACGCUAAGGCGUGAAAGCGUGGGGAGCAAACAGGAUUAGAUACCCCAGUAGUC